rnacentral:rRNA from 1 species
AUUGAACGCUGGCGGCAUGCCUUACACAUGCAAGUCGAACGGCAGCACGGGUGCUUGCACCUGGUGGCGAGUGGCGAACGGGUGAGUAAUACAUCGGAACAUGUCCUGUAGUGGGGGAUAGCCCGGCGAAAGCCGGAUUAAUACCGCAUACGAUCUACGGAUGAAAGCGGGGGACCUUCGGGCCUCGCGCUAUAGGGUUGGCCGAUGGCUGAUUAGCUAGUUGGUGGGGUAAAGGCCUACCAAGGCGACGAUCGGUAGAUGGUCUGAGAGGACGACCAGCCACACUGGGACUGAGACACGGCCCAGACUCCUACGGGAGGCAGCAGUGGGGAAUUUUGGACAAUGGGCGAAAGCCUGAUCCAGCAAUGCCGCGUGUGUGAAGAAGGCCUUCGGGUUGUAAAGCACUUUUGUCCGGAAAGAAAUCCUUGGCUCUAAUACAGUCGGGGGAUGACGGUACCGGAAGAAUAAGCACCGGCUAACUACGUG